rnacentral:rRNA from 1 species
UGGGGAAUAUUGCACAAUGGGCGCAAGCCUGAUGCAGCCAUGCCGCGUGUAUGAAGAAGGCCUUCGGGUUGUAAAGUACUUUCAGCGAGGAGGAAGGCAUUAAGGUUAAUAACCUUGGUGAUUGACGUUACUCGCAGAAGAAGCCAGCCGCAUAACUCCGUGCCAGCAGCCGCGGUAAUACGGAGGGUGCAAGCGUUAAUCGGAAUUACUGGGCGUAAAGCGCACGCAGGCGGUCUGUCAAGUCGGAUGUGAAAUCCCCGGGCUCAACCUGGGAACUGCAUUCGAAACUGGCAGGCUAGAGUCUUGUAGAGGGGU